GGAUUCUGAUCCUGUGGCAACAGGAUACUAUCUGAAGGUCUUCUUCAAUCCUGUUUUCUAUGAUUCUGGGAAGAUCUCCAGCAUAAAUAGAUCAACUGCUGCUUUAGAAAAUAUCUGAGGAACAAGCACAGGGUCUACUACGAUUUGAAGAAUGGAUACUCAGCAAGAAGAGCUAUGUUUCAGAGUUACACUUGCUUCUGUAUCACUCUCCGUAGAGGGUUUCUAGGAAUCAUCUAGUUGUAAGUGUAAAUCUUCCCUGAUGUGGGCUUUCUUCUCCAGCUCAUCUGUUGGAAAAAUGCAGUUGGAGGAGUUCAGCAGGCCCAGGUGUGUUAUUGAUACUAGGCACCUGAUAUUUUACACCUCUAGGAAGACAUAAGAAUACCUGGUAAGUUUCAAGUUGUUUGGUUCACUUUUUAAAUGUUUUGUAUAGGCUGCCAGUUGUAUUAUCUAGAGAAAU